GUACUCACUUCAGCAGCACAUAGAAUAAAAUUGGAAUGAUACAGAGACUAGUGUGGCUCUUGUGCAAGAAUGACAUGCAUAUUUGUGAAGUGUUUCAGAUUUUU
ensembl:snRNA U6 U6 spliceosomal RNA